UACGUAGGGUGCAGGCGUUAAUCGGACUUACUGGGCGUAAAGCGUGCGCAGGCGGUUUUGUAAGACAGAGGUGAAAUCCCCGGGCUCAACCUGGGAACUGCCUUUGUGACUGCAAGGCUUGAGUGCGGCAGAGGGGGAUGGAAUUCCGCGUGUAGCAGUGAAAUGCGUAGAUAUGCGGAGGAACACCGAUGGCGAAGGCAAUCCCCUGGGCCUGCACUGACGCUCAUGCACGAAAGCGUGGGGAGCAAACAGG
rnacentral:rRNA from 1 species